rnacentral:rRNA from 1 species
AUGUGUGGGGGUGCCAUCCUCGCGAACCUCACCCCCGACCGGGUGCGCCGGCGGCUGAUGGCAGCCCAGCUCUGGCCGGACGCGUACUUCCCGGCGGAGAGGGCAGCCUCCGGCAGGAGGAGGAGGAGGGCCGCUGCCACGACCGACGACGAAUUCGAGGCAGAGUUCCAAGUUUUUGCGGAGGAGGAGGACGACGACUAUGCGGCUCCUCCGGCGGCGGCGUGUGCAGCCGUUGCUUUGAGCUCCAGGCGGCGCCGCGUAGCCGGUGCCAAGAGCACCAAGUACAGACGCGUACGCCGCCGGCUGUCGGGCAGAUGGGCGGCAGAGGACACCCAGCAGCGGCAGCGCGUGUGGCUCGGUACGUGCGGCGGCGACGCCGAGGAGGCCGCCCCAUUGUACGACAGCGAAACCCGUCGGGUGCGCGGGAAGAGCGCUAGGCUCGACUCCCCGAACGAAGGCUGUUCUCGCCGGCGAAGCCUGCCGGGGAUCAUCGACCUCAACCAGCCGCCCGCCGUUUCCGAUGACCACAUGGUCAGUGCCGAUGCAGACGCGUGCAAGACGAAGAUCAUGCAGCUGAUCGCGGAGGGUCCUCGCGGGGAGCGGGUGGCGAGCCUCGUGUCCGAGCUGAUGGACGGAGCGCACCAAGGGAGCGAAACCAGAGCGUCCGUGGUGGUGAUGCGGUGUGCGGCGUUGAUCUCCAGAUGCAGCCGCGAGAUGGAAGAGGUUGCUGCGCUGAGGAGGGACCUCGAGAACCGCGCGAGGCGGCUGGAUGAGCGGAAAGAUCAACUCGUUAGGAUAGCUUCUCUUCUGGGUUCUGAACUUCUGAUUGACUGA